UACGAAGGGGGCUAGCGUUGCUCGGAAUCACUGGGCGUAAAGGGUGCGUAGGCGGGUCUUUAAGUCAGGGGUGAAAUCCUGGAGCUCAACUCCAGAACUGCCUUUGAUACUGAAGAUCUUGAGUUCGGGAGAGGUGAGUGGAACUGCGAGUGUAGAGGUGAAAUCGUAGAUAUUCGCAAGAACACCAGUGGCGAAGGCGGCUCACUGGCCCGAUACUGACGCUGAGGCACGAAAGCGUGGGGAGCAAACAGGG
rnacentral:rRNA from 1 species